GUGAGUAACGCGUGAGAAUCUGGCUCCAGGUCGGGGAUAACAGUUGGAAACGACUGCUAAUACCGGAUGUGCCGAGAGGUGAAAGAUUUAUUGCCUGGAGAUGAGCUCGCGUCUGAUUAGCUAGUUGGUGGUGUAAGGGACCACCAAGGCGUCGAUCAGUAGCUGGUCUGAGAGGAUGAUCAGCCACACUGGGACUGAGACACGGCCCAGACUCCUACGGGAGGCAGCAGUGGGGAAUUUUCCGCAAUGGGCGAAAGCCUGACGGAGCAAUACCGCGUGAGGGAGGAAGGCUCUUGGGUCGUAAACCUCUUUUCUCAAGGAAGAAGAAAGUGACGGUACUUGAGGAAUAAGCAUCGGCUAACUCCGUGCCAGCAGCCGCGGUAAUACGGAGGAUGCAAGCGUUAUCCGGAAUGAUUGGGCGUAAAGGGUCUGCAGGUGGAACUGAAAGUCUGCUGUUAAAGAGUUUGGCUUAACCAAAUAAAAGCGGUGGAAACUACAGAACUAGAGUGCGGUAGGGGCAAAAGGAAUUCCUGGUGUAGCGGUGAAAUGCGUAGAUAUCAGGAAGAACACCGGUGGCGAAAGCGUUUUGCUAGACCAUAACUGACACUGAGGGACGAAAGCUAGGGGAGCGAAUGGGAUUAGAUACCCCAGUAGUCCUAGCCGUAAACGAUGGAUACUAGGCGUGGCUUGUAUCGACCCGAGCCGUGCCGGAGCUAACGCGUUAAGUAUCCCGCCUGGGGAGUACGCACGCAAGUGUGAAACUCAAAGGAAUUGACGGGGGCCCGCACAAGCGGUGGAGUAUUGGUUUAAUUCGAUGCAACGCGAAGAACCUUACCAAGACUUGACAUCCUGCGAAUCCUGGUGAAAGCUGGGAGUGCCUUAGGGAGCGCAGAGACAGGUGGUGCAUGGCUGUCGUCAGCUCGUGUCGUGAGAUGUUGGGUUAAGUCCCGCAACGAGCGCAACCCUCGUUUUUAGUUGCCAGCAUUAAGUUGGGCACUCUAGAGAGACUGCCGGUGACAAACCGGAGGAAGGUGAGGAUGACGUCAAGUCAGCAUGCCCCUUACGUCUUGGGCUACACACGUACUACAAUGCUACGGACAGAGGGCAGCGAGCCAGGGAUGGCAAGCGAAUCCAGAAACCGUAGCUCAGUUCAGAUCGAAGGCUGCAACUCGCCUUCGUGAAGGAGGAAUCGCUAGUAAUUGCAGGUCAGCAUACUGCAGUGAAUUCGUUCCCGGGCCUUGUACACACCGCCCGUCACACCAUGG
rnacentral:rRNA from 3 species